rnacentral:rRNA from 1 species
CCUACGGGGGGCUGCAGUGGGGAAUAUUGGACAAUGGGGGCAACCCUGAUCCAGCCAUGCCGCGUGUGUGAAGAAGGCCCUCGGGUUGUAAAGCACUUUCAGUGAGGAAGAACGCCUGGUGGUGAAUACCCAUCAGGAAAGACAUCACUCACAGAAGAAGCACCGGCUAACUCCGUGCCAGCAGCCGCGGUAAUACGGAGGGUGCGAGCGUUAAUCGGAAUUACUGGGCGUAAAGCGCGCGUAGGUGGCUUGAUAAGCCGGUUGUGAAAGCCCCGGGCUCAACCUGGGAACGGCAUCCGGAACUGUCAAGCUAGAGUGCAGGAGAGGAAGGUAGAAUUCCCGGUGUAGCGGUGAAAUGCGUAGAGAUCGGGAGGAAUACCAGUGGCGAAGGCGGCCUUCUGGACUGACACUGACACUGAGGUGCGAAAGCGUGGGUAGCAAACAGGAUUAGAUACCCUAGUAGUC